rnacentral:rRNA from 1 species
UACGAAGGGGGCUAGCGUUGCUCGGAAUCACUGGGCGUAAAGGGUGCGUAGGCGGGUCUUUAAGUCAGGGGUGAAAUCCUGGAGCUCAACUCCAGAACUGCCUUUGAUACUGAGGAUCUUGAGUACGGGAGAGGUGAGUGGAACUGCGAGUGUAGAGGUGAAAUUCGUAGAUAUUCGCAAGAACACCAGUGGCGAAGGCGGCUCACUGGCCCGUUACUGACGCUGAGGUGCGAAAGCGUGGGGAGCAAACGGG